AUGAAGUUUGACAUCUCCCAUUAUGCGCAACUAAGCAGCAGUGAGAUCCUCCCUGGUUACCUCAGCCAAGUACACUCCAGCCAUGAUCUUGAAGUUGAUAUGGUGAAACAAAUGCACCAAAAGUAUGAGGCUGGUACUGCUGAACUAGAAUCUCAAUUGAACGACGCAAAGACGCGGCUGGCGACUCAGGAAACUGAGACCCGGAAAGCUGAUUCAAAGUUCCAGUUUAGCUUGGCUGAGUCGGAAAAGCUGAAGACCAGUUUUGAGGCAGAGAAAAAGACUUGGGUUGAAGAAAAGACUGCUUUAACUCAGCGGGCUGAGAAGGCAGAGGCAGCUCUUGAAGAGGUGACCACUGAGCUCACUGGCUUAGAACGCCAUGUAUCUCAGAUGGUUUCUGCUAUCUUUGGUCCCAGAAGCAGAAACCUCAAUCAAGACAUGCUUGUAAAGCUGAAAGCUGUCUAUACACUUGUUGAACAGCUGUACACUGGGACUCAGCGUGCCCUGGCCACAAUUUCUCCAACUAAUCAAGCUCCUAGGCUUUUGAUAGAUGUCUUAAAAAAGCUCUCUGUGCUACCUGCCAGGAUCGAUGAGAUGAAGCGAUCAUCUGCAAGAGCCGGCGCUGUGACAGCCUUGAGCCGGGCUAAAGCAUGGGUACCGGAAUUAGAGCCGACUGAUGUAGCCACAGGAUAUACAAGCUUAAAAGAGGAUGGUACUCCUUUUGACAAAAAUGACUUUGCAGCCUGUGUGAAGGAAAUUCGUCCAAUGGCCACCCAGAUUGCAAAUGAUUCAGACAUUUCAAAGUACCAUGCGGCUUAUGACAAGCAAAAUCAGAAGAUGCCUACACCAGCUUACAGAGUGAUGGAUCUGAUCCCUCCAAUCUGUAAUCAUACUUUUGCCUCUGAAGUUGAACCGUCCAAUCUUAUAGAUGACGAAGCUGAAUUUCAAGCCUUAUCUGGCAUCGAUUAG
rnacentral:rRNA from 1 species